ACCUAGCUGAUGAGUCUUAAAUAGGACGAAAUGUGCAUCCUGGAU
rnacentral:hammerhead_ribozyme from 1 species